AGGUAGGUACGGCACACACAUUUUAUGUAUGUGUUUAUCUGUGGGUGUGUAUUCUAAGAGAACAUAUAAUAUAAGAGUAGGUCAAGGAAGGUGUGUUUUUGUCAUAAAUGUCACCUAUACUAGAUGUCUAGUCAUUUGUGUAUUAUUUCUUUUUGAUAUCCUGCAAAAUAUGCGCCUUGUUCCGGUGCUCACGCAGGUGGUGGUGGUGGAAAGCUAGCUAGCUUUCACCAGCUUUAAUUGCAUAUCAUGUUUAUUAUAUGUACUAUAUCUAUAUUAUCCUAAUUUCUUUUGAGUACGUGCCUUUGUUUAAUAACUCGGGUGAGUGAAGGAUGUAGACGUGGAGGAUGAUUGAAGGUUUGUGCAGAUGAUGAGUAAUCCCCUUUUGGGUUCAUGCUCGGGAUGGGAAUCAUUUGUCUACAUGGCACGACUGUAGAGUUCUUGGAAGCAUGUCGUUGGAGCAUCCGUAACACAAGGAUUCUGGUCACGCGAACGUUUAGGUGGAAAUGCAGACGUGUCAUUAACACAUCGACUUGUAUGGCCAUUCCAACAUAGUAUAAGACAACCUAACGGUAUGCAAGUGAGUACGAGCUUGGACUUGGUCUUGGCGAUAUUCCUGGAGCAUAUUCCAUAUUUAUUCCGCACGUGCAUGGCUGAAGUGGACGUUAUGGAGUUCGUGGAGGACUGACACAAAAUGCGGAAUGUUUGUUAGCUUAGAUAUUUUCCAUUUUUAAAGGGGAUAGCGAGCUAAAUAGAAACACUUGGCUAAUUUUAGCUUAACACACACACUCGUAACUGCUCUCACCAGCUCUUGACAAUUCACUUGGCGAUUACACACUUUUGUGCACAUUACACUAUAGUGAUCCUUGUAAUUAGCUCGCUAUCAUCCGAAGUGGUAAUACAUUUCUUGUCUAAUCUGAGUUGGUGAUCGGUAGUUUCCAUCCCCUGAGG